UGUCUGCCGUCAUUCUGUUUUCUCUCCGUGGCUCCCUGCAUCUCUGUUUGCCACGCCAGACGUGACAAGGGCUGAGUGUACCUCAGGAACUCCCACUCCUCCUUUCUUUAUGGCAAGAAGCUCUUCAGAAUAAGUUCCUGUUCGUGAGCAGCUGCCUCUUCUUUGUUCAGAACCAUGGUUCCCAAAGUGGAUUGCUGUGAAGAUAGAACCAAGCUGCUGAGAGACUUUUUACUUUGCACUGCUGCCUCACAGCAAUCCUGGCUCAUAGGUGUGCAGUGUGCCUCCUGCUGACUAAAGAUUAUCAUCGGUUCAUACUGCCAAGAUAAACAAGUUCUCAUUCCCAAACAACCCGGAUCACUUAGUGCCAAUAUUCACCUGGAUUCCAACUUCUCCCCUCUGGAAGUUUCUGUGUAUUUCUCAAGUAUCCAAUUUAUUCUGACCAUGUUUGCUGUCAUGCCUGAACCCAGAUCUAACUCUUCUUUCCUCUCUGCAGUGAACUCCUUUUUUCCCUUGGACCUGCAAGGAAAAAACCCCCUGAGUGACCUACCUUUAUUAAUCUGCCCCUGCUCAAGCUAAAUAAAGAUUGUGAAACAUUUA